rnacentral:rRNA from 1 species
UUUUCGGAUCGUAAAACUCUGUUAUCAGGGAAGAACAAGUACCGUUUAACUGACGGUACCUUGACGGUACCUGACCAGAAAGCCACGGCUAACUACGUGCCAGCAGCCGCGGUAAUACGUAGGUGGCAAGCGUUGUCCGGAAUUAUUGGGCGUAAAGCGCGCGCAGGCGGUCCUUUAAGUCUGAUGUGAAAGCCCCCGGCUCAACCGGGGAGGGUCAUUGGAAACUGGGAGACUUGAGUGCAGAAGAGGAAAGUGGAAUUCCAAGUGUAGCGGUGAAAUGCGUAGAGAUUUGGAGGAACACCAGUGGCGAAGGCGACUUUCUGGUCUGUAACUGACACUGAGGCGCGAAAGCGUGGGGAGCGAACAGGAUUAGAUACCCUGGUAGUCCACGCCGUAAACGAUGAGUGCUAAGUGUUAGGGGGUUUCCGCCCCUUAGUGCUGCAGCUAACGCAUUAAGCACUCCGCCUGGGGAGUACGGCCGCAAGGCUGAAACUCAAAGGAAUUGACGGGGGCCCGCACAAGCGGUGGAGCAUGUGGUUUAAUUCGAAGCAACGCGAAGAACCUUACCAGGUCUUGACAUCCUCUGAUAACCCUAGAGAUAGGGCGUUCCCCUUCGGGGGACAGAGUGACAGGUGGUGCAUGGUUGUCGUCAGCUCGUGUCGUGAGAUGUUGGGUUAAGUCCCGCAACGAGCGCAACCCUUGAU